AUGAAUUUCAGCACCAGUUGUGUGCUGGGCAUGAUUACUGUUCAUUGAAGAAUGAAGUGAGAUCUAGGAGAUACGGUGCAGCCAGGAGUCAGACUUGAUUGAAACUUGGCCCUGCUCCUGACUUGCUGAAUGAUCCGGGGGAGACCAUCUGAGUGCCCACCCCAUGACUGACUUCAUAAGCACAAGAUGACUUCAUCCUCCAAAUCCUGAAGGUACUCGACAGGGGAAGCCAGAGCUUCUGAGUAUUCACGUGGCAAAUCUCAGGUAGGAAAGCG